UCACUCUUGUUUCUUUUCAGAUCGUAUAAAUCUUUCGCCUUUUACUAAAGAUUUCCGUGGAGAGGAACAACAAGAGUUUUACCCAAUUUUUUGAUGCCCUGCUUCAUUGCGGGGCU
ensembl:snRNA U5 U5 spliceosomal RNA